UACGGGGGGAGCAAGCGUUGUUCGGAAUUACUGGGCGUAAAGGGCUCGUAGGUGGCCAACUAAGUCAGACGUGAAAUCCCUCGGCUUAACCGGGGAACUGCGUCUGAUACUGGAUGGCUUGAGUUUGGGAGAGGGAUGCGGAAUUCCAGGUGUAGCGGUGAAAUGCGUAGAUAUCUGGAGGAACACCGGUGGCGAAGGCGGCAUCCUGGACCAACACUGACACUGAGGAGCGAAAGCCAGGGGAGCAAACGGG
rnacentral:rRNA from 1 species